rnacentral:lncRNA from 1 species
ACAGCUCCGGUCUACAGCUCCCAGCGUGAGCGACGCAGAAGACGGGUGAUUUCUGCAUUUCCAUCUGAGCUUCUGCCAUGACCGGAAGCUUCCUGAGGCCUCCCUAGAAGCUGAGCAGAUGCCAGCACUGUGCUUCCUGUACAGCCUGCAGAACUGUGAGCCAAUUAAACCUCUUUUCUUUAUAAAUUACCCUACCUUGGGUAUUUCUUUAUUGCAGUGCAAGAACAGCCUAGCACAUACAUGGAUAUAUAAUAUGAGCUGGCACAUCGAAGAAACUGAGCAAAUGUUUAGCUGUUAUUAUGAUGAUUAUAUAAGAUAAUUUAAUACAAUGUCAAAAUAGGUGGAAGUUAAUCUCCAUUUGCAUUUCUGUGUGUCUUAGUUGGAGCUUCCUUGGGCUUUGGGUGACUUUAUGUUGCAUUUCCCCUCCUCAAUCUCCUCCCCACCCCCAGUGAUACCCUCGGUCCUUCCUCUGCAGCCCCACCCCAGCAGGGACACGAGAGGACAUUUCCAUUCCCCAAGUGAAAUGCAGCUUGGUCAGGAGUUGGAGAAUCGCAGUCUAAUGAACUCCUGCGUCUGGACUGAGUUCUUGCUCCUGGAUCUCUCCAUCUGAGUCAUGUCUUUACUCCCCAGUGUUGAGAGGUCCCAGUGCAAACCCACCCUCUGCCCUCACCUGGUCACACUUUGAUC